GGUAACAGGCCUUCGGGUGCUGACGAGUGGCGGACGGGUGAGUAACGCGUAGGAAUCUGCCUGUUAGUGGGGGACAACUUGGGGAAACUCAAGCUAAUACCGCAUACGCCCUACGGGGGAAAGCGGGGGACCUUUGGGCCUCGCGCUAACAGAUGAGCCAGCGUUAGAUUAGCUAGUUGGUAGGGUAAAGGCCUACCAAGGCGACGAUCUAUAGCUGGUCUGAGAGGACGAUCAGCCACACUGGGACUGAGACACGGCCCAGACUCCUACGGGAGGCAGCAGUGGGGAAUAUUGGACAAUGGGCGCAAGCCUGAUCCAGCAAUACCGCGUGUGAAGAAGGCCUGAGGGUUGUAAAGCACUUUCAAUUGGGAGGAAAAAGGUAGGGCUAAUACCCUUAUCCUUGACAUUACCUUUACAAGAAGCACCGGCUAACUCCGUGCCAGCAGCCGCGGUAAUACGGAGGGUGCGNAGCGUUAUCGGAAUUACUGGGCGUAAAGCGUGCGUAGGCGGUGAUUUAAGUCAGAUGUGAAAGCCCCGGGCUUAACCUGGGAAUUGCAUUUGAUACUGAGUGACUAGAGUUUAAGAGAGGAGAGUGGAAUUUCAGGUGUAGCGGUGAAAUGCGUAGAGAUCUGAAGGAACAUCAGUGGCGAAGGCGGCUCUCUGGAUUAAAACUGACGCCGAGGUACGAAAGCGUGGGUAGCAAACAGGAUUAGAUACCCUGGUAGUCCACGCUGUAAACGAUGUCAACUAGCCGUAGGGUCUUUAUAGAGACUUAGUGGUGCAGCUAACGCAUUAAGUUGACCGCCUGGGGAGUACGGCCGCAAGGUUAAAACUCAAAUGAAUUGACGGGGGCCCGCACAAGCGGUGGAGCAUGUGGUUUAAUUCGAUGCAACGCGAAGAACCUUACCUACCCUUGACAUCCAGAGAAUCUGUCAGAGAUGAGAGAGUGCCUUCGGGAGCUCUGAGACAGGUGCUGCAUGGCUGUCGUCAGCUCGUGUCGUGAGAUGUUGGGUUAAGUCCCGUAACGAGCGCAACCCUUAUCCUUAGUUGCCAGCGGGUAAUGCCGGGAACUCUAGGGAGACUGCCGGUGAUAAACCGG
rnacentral:rRNA from 1 species